rnacentral:lncRNA from 1 species
CCAGAGCACAGGGUGCAGUUCUCAUCUGUCUGUCACCAAGAAGGCAGACGGGACAGAGGAACAACAAGUCGCUUGUACCUGAAGAGGAGGACACUCCUGGGAAACAAACAGAUGAGCUGCCCCACGAAUCCGAGCCAUGCUGGAGGCUCUCAUCUCUCCCAGGAUGGCCUUGGGAUGAUCUUGGCUUAUAGGAGUUGGGCCCACUUGUUCUAGACCUCAAACUGUUUGCACUCAACCCAGAGUUUCCAGUAAUAGCCAAACUCAGAGCCAGCAGUGACAAC